CGGAGUGCCUAGCCGAGCGCCGAGUGAUCGAUGCCGUGGCCCCGCCCCGUCGUGUUUACAAGGCCGUAGGGUAGAAGCGACCCGCAAGUGAGGGGUCUUUUCCUGGUUUUCGAUUCCCACGUGGGUGACGCCUGCGACUUCCUCAGCAAGGAUAACUUAGUGUGCUAAUCAGCUUCGCAUCCACCAUUUCAUCGAAACCGUACAACUAAGAGGAUUCGUUUUCCUAGUUUACAGGGAGGAUUCUUGCUAAAACUGGACUCAGCAAGCCAAGGACAGCGCCCAAGGUCAAGGCUUAGUUAGAAAGAGGACUGAGAAGAGCCUUGUCACUGGUCACCAGGGAUGUGUCAGAAAACAGCUUGCUGCAAGGAACCCCUUUUCCAUGUGACUUCCAGAAGGCUCGUGGAUGCUGCCCGUGUUUACCUCCAACAAGGCUGGGCACAGACCCUCCAAAUUCCCACUCUUUGCCUCGUAAGUGAUUAGCUGAACUGCUUGUCCCCAGUAAUCAAUCAGAGCAAAAUGCUUGUCAGCCAAAUUUCGUUAAAUUCUCUCCUUCCUCCAGCCCCUGAACUUUGGUCCACGCCCAGCCUAAGCCAGCAGACGGUCCUUCUUGCGAAGAGGACAGAAUGUUCUCUGAUCCCCUGUCCCGUUAUGCUACUCUUUGAUCCCACUUUCUAGUUCUUUUCUGCAGCCUAUAAAAGAAAAAUCUUUUUGCCCAACCCUGACGAUGCUCGCAAACCUUAUUGAUGAGGGAGCGUGGGCCAAGCCAGGGGCAAAGUACAGGCUAACAGCACCCCCCUCCACCAGGUGGGAUAUGUGUGAUAUUCCUCCAACACUCCUGCCUGCCCAAGAAUAGGGGAAAGGAAAGAAAGCAAAUAGUUAACUGAUAGAGAUCACAGUCCUGCAGGGACAGGAGUCUCCUUUAGUUUACGGAUAACUUAGUAAAUUGCAAGAAAAAGGCAAUCUUUUCCAUAGCCUAAUCUCCAGAAACCUAUAGAUUCUAUUUCCUGGAGCCCGAAUAUCACCCUCAUCAAGAUGUAAGGGGGUUUAAGUGCUUGCCAUGGUGAUAUGGGAAACAAGGCAAAUGAAAAAUUAAAUUCCCUUACUGCCUACAGCCAUUAACAAGUCCUUGAAACAGAGUGACCUUCCUCUAGGAGCUCAGCUGCCUUGACGAUGAUGACAUUUUGGUAGGGGCAAAAGAGAAUCUUGUCUUAAUAUUAUCCUGACCACCCUCCCUCCCAGGAUCCUGUGAGUCUCCUUAAACACAUAAAAAUUUCGGGGUGCCUGGGUGGCUCAGUCAAUUAAGUGUCCGACUUUGGUUCAGGUCAUGAUCUCACAGCUCAUGAAUUUGAACCCCACGUCGGGCUCUGUGCUGACAGCUCAGCGCCUGGAGCCUGCUUCGGAUUCUGUGUCUCCCUCGCUCUCUGCCCCUCCCCCGCUCAUGCUCUGUCUUUCUCUCUCUCAAAAGUAAAUAAAACAUUAAAAAAAAUUUUUUUUUAAUUCCUUUGCAAACCUCCUUUAUCUGUACCACCGCCCCCUCCCCGCAAAGAUAUAUGUUAACAGUCAUAUUCCAGACUUAACGGCCCCUGAUACACAUCUGAAGGGCCUCAUGACUGAGGUUUCACUAAGCAGUAAUAAAAGAUGUUUUCCUAGGGGCGCCUGGGUGGCGCAGUCGGUUAAGUGUCCGACUUCAGCCAGGUCACGAUCUCGCGGUCCGUGAGUUCGAGCCCCGCGUCAGGCUCUGGGCUGAUGGCUUGGAGCCUGUUUCCGAUUCUGUGUCUCCCUCUCUCUCUGCCCCUCCCCCGUUCAUGCUCUGUCUCUCUCUGUCCCAAAAAUAAAAAAUAAAAGCGUUGGGAAAAAAAAAAAAAAAAGAUGUUUUCCUAGCUAGCCCCUCAAGGUCCUGGAAACCUUGCUUCCAAAAUUCCUUAGAGACUUACACUGUCCCUAACCCCCUGCCAACCAGAAGGUAUAUAUAUAAUCAGUCACUUUUCACAACCCCAGUGCAGCUCUUUCUGCCCACGGGUCCUGUCCCCGUGCUCUAAUAAAAUCACCUUUUUGCACCAAA